rnacentral:rRNA from 1 species
UACGUAGGGUGCAAGCGUUGUUCGGAAUCACUGGGCGUAAAGGGAGCGUAGGCGGGUAUGUAAGUUAGGAGUUUAAUGCACGGGCUUAACCCGUGACCUGCUCUUAAUACUGCGUAUCUUGAAUAUGGAAGAGGGAGAUGGAAUUCUUGGUGUAGCGGUGGAAUGUGUAGAUAUCAAGAAGAACACCAUUAGCGAAGGCGGUCUCCUGGUCCAAUAUUGACGCUGAGGCUCGAAAGUUAGGGGAGCAAACAGG